UUCACAUUGUUUUGGCGCACGGGAGUGUCGUUUACAUGAGGCGGCUAGGGCGGGAAUGGCGGUGGGUAUUUCAAGACCCAGAAACGGCUUCCCUAUGUCAAACUGUAUGAAAGCACGAAAAUGUGGAAAGAGAGAAGAGAGGGCCGGAUGGAAAACCAAGGCAAGGAUCUGAAAUCGCAAAUGGCGAUACGUCGCUGUGCAAAAGCUGCUCUCCUCCUUUCCGACCUGAAAUCACUCCCCAGUCUCGCCCCGGAUGACAACGAGCUGUUGAGGAGAGAAAUCGAAGACCUAAAGAUUCAAUUGGUCAAGCAGCGUUUGAUUAACAAGAGAAUCAAGCUCUGCGCCCUUUCAGAAUUAAUUGUCCAAGUCUUCUUGAUGCUGUCUCUUUUGACUUUCUUCUUGAUGCUCGUCCUGGAAACUCUUUGAACAGUUCUAUCAAUCUGUGUUCAUUUA